GCUUGCUGGGUGGAUUAGUGGCGAACGGGUGAGUAACACGUGAGUAACCUGCCCUUGACUCUGGGAUAAGCCCGGGAAACUGGGUCUAAUACCGGAUAGGAGCGCCUGUCGCAUGACGGGUGUUGGAAAGAUUUUUCGGUCAUGGAUGGACUCGCGGCCUAUCAGCUUGUUGGUGAGGUAAUGGCUCACCAAGGCGACGACGGGUAGCCGGCCUGAGAGGGUGACCGGCCACACUGGGACUGAGACACGGCCCAGACUCCUACGGGAGGCAGCAGUGGGGAAUAUUGCACAAUGGGCGGAAGCCUGAUGCAGCGACGCCGCGUGAGGGAUGACGGCCUUCGGGUUGUAAACCUCUUUCAGCAGGGAAGAAGCGAAAGUGACGGUACCUGCAGAAGAAGCACCGGCUAACUACGUGCCAGCAGCCGCGGUAAUACGUAGGGUGCGAGCGUUAUCCGGAAUUAUUGGGCGUAAAGAGCUCGUAGGCGGUUUGUCACGUCUGUCGUGAAAGUCCGGGGCUUAACCCCGGAUCUGCGGUGGGUACGGGCAGACUAGAGUGCAGUAGGGGAGACUGGAAUUCCUGGUGUAGCGGUGGAAUGCGCAGAUAUCAGGAGGAACACCGAUGGCGAAGGCAGGUCUCUGGGCUGUAACUGACGCUGAGGAGCGAAAGCAUGGGGAGCGAACAGGAUUAGAUACCCUGGUAGUCCAUGCCGUAAACGUUGGGCACUAGGUGUGGGGACCAUUCC
rnacentral:rRNA from 1 species